rnacentral:sRNA from 1 species
UAUCUUUACUUUACAGGGAGGAAACUGACAUACACUCCCUUCUCCUUGAGGGUUUUGGAGCAGGUCACCAUGGGCAGGGAGAAGGGGGCACAAUGUCCAUGGACCAGGGCUUGGAAAGGUGUCAGGACUGUUCCCCCUGCUUGGGAGGACUGGAGGAAGAGGCAGGUUUUUUUGCGGGAGCAACAAGGCUUGAAGACAGAGCUAAAGAAACAUGAAAAAUAUGAAAAGGGAGGCUGUGGGAAGGCAAGUAGGGUCUGCAUGCUCAUAGAUGGGAGUAGGAGAUUGAGUAUCAGUGCUAUUGACACAAGACAAACCUGGGACGUCCCACAAGGCCUUCCAGUCCUGGGAUUCUUCUUGGCCUGGCUUCUCUUUGGAGAGUCUGUGCUGUGGUUCUAAGAUUCCUGGCUAGAAUGUCACACACUGCUGGAUUUAGGAUUCUAUUCUGGAAUCCUGUGAUUCUCCCUGAUGAGACUAAGACUCACAUUCCUGGUGUGACUGCAUUCUCUCCUGCCAGGUGUGUAGGUGGAGCUUCCCUUCCUGUCUGAGAAGGAAAGGCUGGGGGGCGGGGGGGCAUCUACAGUCUGCUGAGGGGCAGCACAUCGGGCCUGUGCACCCUUAUCCUAUCCUUUGCCGAUGGGACCUUAUUUCCCCCAACUUACAAUGGUUCAAAAGGGCCUGAAUCUGAGGCAAACAGAGCUGGCCAUGGUCAGGGCCAGGUCUGUGUGGUGAGACAGAAAGGAAACAGUUGUCAGCAGGCAAAAGGGGUGGGGGCAGUUGGAGAUGAAGCUCCUCAAGGAGAGCUGUCAGCUCCCACUCUCCACCUCCCCAUAAGCCUUUGAUUUAAAGAAAGCCUCCAUCUGUUAGCCUCCGGUGUGUGGGAUAGUUUUGCAGCCGAAGAGGGGUGGGCAUUGCUCAGGAUCUUGGCAUGGCUGAGAACCAGGUCCAGGAAGGAGUGGGAGGGGCAAGGCCAGCUCCUCUGCCCCCAGCUUGCUGUGGGACCUCAGGCCUUGGGCUAGACUUCCUUGGACUGACUGCUAAGGCAGGAGAGACAGAGUCAGAGACCCUCCCUAUCCACACCCCACCUCUCCUAGCCAGGGAGCAAUGGGUUCACACUGCCUGGAUCAGCUAUGAGGUCAGGUGGCUGGGAGGCCUGAACCAGGAAGAGCUCUGGGCCACGGGAGGCGGGUGAGCAUUUAAAAUGAAUGCUGACCCUACUGAGCACACAAAGCUGUGAAGAAGGAGCUGGUCCUUCAGAGCACGCUGGGAGUAUAUGCACUGGUGUGGGGAGGUAGGAAGAGGGGGAUGCAACCCCAGAGAAGGUGGCAACUUCUGGAGAAGCAGACACAGCAGAAAAAACACAGAUAGAGGGCGAUACUGAUUAAUUUUGAGUUGUCCCUGGUGAUCAGGUAUGAACUUGGGUCCCCAUCACCCUCCCAAGUGGCCCUGGGCAUAUGUGGUCAGCACCCAGUUAGAAAGACUUGUUUCCUAGUACAUCUUCUCUCAUGGUCUCUCGUGGAUGCACUAUACUUCAUAGUACCCAAAACACUUCCAAGUUCAUAGUGGGCCUCUGUUUCUAUAAUUUGACUAUGUCGAGCAUACACUUACUGCAUUAUACAAAUUGGAAAAACUGAGACCAGGAGAGGAGGAACCAGAAUCUCUUGUUGCCUAAGAGAUUUUCUACUGCUCUUGAUGGCUGAGAGCAUCCUCUACUGCAAUGAUGAGGUAAGCCUCUCCUAGACCAGGAGGCCCAGGCAACAGAACUCCCAAUAGUGGAUUUCAGCUAACAUGUCCCUGUUAGCAUCAUUCUCACUGGCCUCUCCUUUACCUCUUACCCUCUCUCCUCCAGAAGGGUGAGAAUAGAGGGGGUUUCUUUCUCUCUCAUGCUUCCCUCCAGGCCAGGAGGGCUGGGGGCAGAAGGGCAGAGGCACUGCAGCUGUGGAACAGGAGCAGACAAGGGCAUAAUAUUCAGAGGAACCUACAGUCCAUCCUCACACUUCCUGGUCAUUGUCCCCAUCUUCUGUGCCUCCAGCUGCCCCCAUGCCACACCCUAUCAUAUCCACAUGUGUGGACACACAUACCCAUGGCCUGUCCCUCCCCUGUCUCCAGGAGGCUAGCCAGGUCCACACUCCUGCUGAUCCCCCUGUUUGGAGUACACUACAUCAUGUUCGCCUUCUUUCCGGACAAUUUUAAGCCUGAAGUGAAGAUGGUCUUUGAGCUCGUCGUGGGGUCUUUCCAGGGUUUUGUGGUGGCUAUCCUCUACUGCUUCCUCAAUGGUGAGGUGCAGGCGGAGCUGAGGCGGAAGUGGCGGCGCUGGCACCUGCAGGGCGUCCUGGGCUGGAACCCCAAAUACCGGCACCCGUCGGGAGGCAGCAACGGCGCCACGUGCAGCACGCAGGUUUCCAUGCUGACCCGCGUCAGCCCCGGUGCCCGCCGCUCCUCCAGCUUCCAAGCCGAAGUCUCCCUGGUCUGACCACCAGGAUCCCAGGGGCCCAAGGCGGCCCCUCCCGCCUCUUCCCACUCACCCCGGCAGACGCCGGGGACAGAGGCCUGCCCGGGCGCGGCCAGCCCCGGCCCUGGGCUCGGAGGCUGCCCCCCGGCCCCCUGGUCUCUGGUCCGGACACUCCUAGAGAACGCAGCCCUAGAGCCUGCCUGGAGCGUUUCUAGCAAGUAAGAGAGAUGGGAGCUCCUCUCCUGGAGGAUUGCAGGUGGAACUCAGUCAUUAGACUCCUCCUCCAAAGGCCCCCUACGCCAAUCAAGGGCAAAAAGUCUACAUACUUUCAUCCUGACUCUGCCCCCUGCUGGCUCUUCUGCCCAAUUGGAGGAAAGCAACCGGUGGAUCCUCAGACAACACUGGUGUGAUCUGAGGGCAGAAAGGUUCUGCCCGGGAAGGUCACCAGCACCAACACCACGAUAGUGCCUGAAAUUUCACCAUUGCUGUCAAGUUCCUUUGGGUUAAGCAUUACCACUCAGGCAUUUGACUGAAGAUGCAGCUCACUACCCCAUUCUCUCUUACGCUUAGCUAUCAGGUCUUCAAAGUGGGCUAUUCUGGAGUUUUUGUUUUGAGAGCACACGUAUCUUAGUGGUUCCCCACCGAAGUAGAGUGGCCCCAGGGUCAGUCUGGUGGGAGGACGGUGCAACCCAAGGACUGAGGGACUCUGAAGCCUCUGGGAAAUGAGAAGGCAGCCACCAGCGAAUGCUAGGUCUCAGACUUAGCCUACCUGCUCUCCAAGUCUCAGUGGCUUCAUCUGUCAAGUGGGAUCUGUCACACCAGCCAUACUUAUCCCUCUGUGCUGUGGAAGCAACAGGAAUCAAGAGCUGCCCUCCUUGUCCACCCACCUAUGUGCCAACUGUUGUAACUAGGCUCAGAGAUGUGCACCCAUGGGCUCUGACAGAAAGCAGAUACCUCACCCUGCUACACAUACAGGAUUUGAACUCAGAUCUGUCUGAUAGGAAUGUGAAAGCACAGACUCUUACUGCUAACUUUUGUGUAUCGUAACCAGCCAGAUCCUCUUGGUUAUUUGUUUACCACUUGUAUUAUUAAUGCCAUUAUCCCUGAAUCCCCCUUGCCACCCCACCCUCCCUGGAGUGUGGCUGAGGAGGCCUCCAUUUCAUGUAUCAUCUGGAUAGGAGCCUGCUGGUCACAGCCUCCUCUGUCUGCCCUUCACCCCAGUGGCCACUCAGCUUCCUACCCACACCUCUGCCAGAAGAUCCCCUCAGGACUGCAACAGGCUUGUGCAACAAUAAAUGUUGGCUUGG